UAUAAAUUAAAUAUGAAGUUCUCUUUAUAGGAUACCAUACUAAUUUACAAUUGAAUAAUUACGCACCAACAAUGUUAUAUUCUUCUAAUUUUUAUCCUGAUAUUUGGUCUACGCAACCAUAUUUACCAGUAUCUCCAGAUAGUACUCCCGAUACAAGUCCAAGAAAUUCUCCAUUGUCGAACCUUUCAGACAAUAAAGAAGACACUUUUGGUUCAGGUGAAUUAUUUAUAAAUAUUUAUGAAUGUUUCAUUUAUAGGAGCAGUAUCUGCUUCAUUAGAUUUAAUAUUUUGUUACUGUAUCAUUGAUUUCAAAUAUUAAAAAAUUAAAAUUACAAUAUCAUAUAAUCAUAAUUUUAAGAAUUAAAUCCACAUAUUAUUUAAAUAAUAAAAUUUACAUAACUUAUACACAGGGUGCUUCUAUAUUAUUGCCAGGGUUUCCAUGUCCUAUAAUUUUCCAACUAGAAACAAAAAAUUACACUUCAUAUUCUGUAAGGAUUUAUUACAUCUAGAAUAAUAAUAAUAUGUCACUCUGGCAAUUUGCAGUGAGUUAAUAUAGAGGUUACAGAAUUAGUCUAUCAUUCCAAAUCCCACAAUCAAAAAAACAAAACCUUCAGCAUCCAGUAACGAAAUAGGCACAGAAUAAACUCAGUCUUUUAGUGUUAAUAAUUUGUCAGUCUUCUGGCAUUAGACUAUUGGAUCAGAAAACCCUUUAGUUAUGAUAAUUUACCAUUCCUGGUAAGCAAAGCAUUGCUUCAUCUCCAAAGGUAAUUAUCAUCACCUUUGAGUUUUAGUAAAAAAUUUCUGGAAAAAUUGGAAACAGCAGGGUUCAUCAUCCAGCUAUAGUCAUUUGUGGUAUACCUAAUUGCAAAGAAACUUGUCUAGUUUGAUAAAGUAUUUCCUGGAAUCAUUCUAAUCUUUAUUCUCCUUUUUGAUGCUAAACACUACUGUCUCUUGAACUUGCUUUAACCAAUAUCAGCAUUACCUGAAGAUGGCUCUGUUCCAUAGGUCUGUGAUAACAUGCACUUGUAUUUUGAAAAACCAAAUUGCACACAUUGCUUUCUCUUGAACAGUUACCAUUUUGACGUAUGAUGUCAUAUACUCAUUGCAUUAUUGUCGGAGAAAUAAAACUGAGUUAAACUUUCACAUUCUGUAAGCAGUUUUAUUUUGUUGUUUCAGUUGUAAAAUUAUAGGAUAUAAAAUUGCCAACAAUAAUUUGGAUUCACCCUAUAUAUAAUUUGAAAUGAAUUUAUUGAAAUAUUAUUUGAUAACUAAAUUUUGUUAAAUUUUUCUUAUUCAAGAAAUUGUAUAAAACCUUUCCAUGGAUACUGAUUGCAGCACCACUUAUGCAAUUUUACUCUAAUAAAUAUAAAUUUUAAGGAAAAACUGAAUUUGGCAAUUUAUUCUUUCUAUUCAAUUUCAAAUAAUAAUACAAAUGUUUUGUUAUUAAUUAUUGUGUUUAAAAAUAAAUAAAUCUCAAAUUUAUCAUAAUCAUUAUUAGAUGCUAUUAUACUUACAUAUUUAUGUAUUGGAGUUGUUCCGCUUUGUUGUUCUUACAAAAUGUUGAACAACCUUAUCCCUAGUGCUGGCCAGUCCACAUCUCACUUUAAUUUCCAAUGCACCUUGGUGAAAGAUUCAUAUCAAAUGUAUUCAGACAGUACAUACACUUUAGAGUUGGCUGGCAAUUACUGAAAGAAAGUUUGUUUAUUACAAUUGAUAUGUAGUGUUUGAUAUUUCACCACCUUGCAGUAUGUGUUUUAUAAUUUUACAUUAUCUACCUUACAAUUUAUCAUAUUCCAGGAGUCCAAUGUCUGCCAGCAGUUUGACAUCUUCAGAUUGGUACCUUCAGAUAGUCCUUUUUGUUUAUUAUCCUAGGAUACUCUGCUCUACUGUGGUCCACAUAUCUUUUUGUUGUCACAUUUAAUUAAAUGGAUGACCAGUCUAUUUCUUUCUAAUUCCAAUUGACUUCUAGUAUGCAGAUAAGUGGGGGGUAGACGUGGUGUACUUAGGCUCCUUUUUUGAUUGUCACAUCAGCAUUCUGUCUACUAAAUUGUGAGGUUUUUGUUUAUGUUUAGUUAGCUGUUGCCAAGAGGAUCAUUUUGAGGUAUAUUUUGUUUAUUCUGGAAUAUUAUAUAUUAAGUUAUGUGUGUUUUUGUACCGCAUGUAACCGUCUGUUAUCUUUUUUUUUAACAUUAAAUGUGUUAUACUGUUGAAUAGCGAGCAUUCUGCUGUUCUCAGCAGUACUUUUCUUUUUUGUUUACAGGUAUUUUCCCUCAGUUAAGGUCGUUUCAGUUUCUGCAUUUUGCGGGCUUGGAUCAGGCCAUUCGCUGUGUUCUGAGGGCCAAUCGGAUAUUGUCACGCUUAGAGUGUAUUAGUCACUCUUCAGUGUUAAUUCGGUAAUUCUAUGGCUAUCAUUUAUCAGGUUAUUGAUGGUUUUUCUAGACUGUUAGCCAGUAGUCUUUGUUUCCACUCUUUACUCGAACCUAAUUCGAGUUACUCCAAAAGCACCUAAUUCGGUUUUUGCCGGCUGGUAUUGUAUAUUUGGUAGUGUAUAUUGGCUAAUGUUGUCUGGUGAUUUGGUGAUCAUAUAAUGGAUAGACAAGAUAUCAUAUCCAAUAGACUAGAUACUAUCAUGGAGGCACUCCCAGCCAAAGCACAUGGGUCUAUCACCAUAAAACGGAAGAAGGAAGUAAGGCAAGUGGCACUAGACAUUCAUGCAGCUGCCAACAAUUUAUACGGAAUUGUUUUUGCACUGCAAAUUAAGGAGUUGGCCACAACCUACAGUUUGCUGACAUUGCUAGGUUAGGCUCAGUGAGGGGAAGUAACACAACCAUGAUGAUAGAUGAAUCUUUAGCUCAUAGCAAAUCCAAUGAGAGGCUAUGCGAGCUUAUUCUAGAGCCCGUGGCCACCGCCAGUGGGAAGAAAAUAUGUCCAGAGGAGGUUAUGAACAUGCUGCAAGACAAUAUAAGUCCUUCCUUGCUCAACAUUGGAGUGAGGAACAUUACCCCUACAGCAAGUAGAAAUGCUAAAAUAAAGCUGAACUCAGAAAAAGAUUAUGACAAUAUGAAAAAUGCAAUAGAAACGCUACCAGAUGUAAGUGGGAAAGUGAAGAUUACUAACCCUAAAAAAAGAAUCCAAGGGUGAUCAUACUGAAUGUUCCUAAAGAUAAGGAUCAGAACGAGUUCCUUACAAAGUUAUAUGACCAAAACGUUCAGAUCAAGGAAAAGUUCUCGUUGGAAAGCUUCCAGAAGGAAACGAGAAUUAAAAGUGCUAUAAACUCAAAGAAAAAGGAUGACUAUAGACAUGUUAUAGUAAGCGUAAUGUAACUCCAACAGUUCGGAAUACCCUAAUUAAUAUAAAGAGAGUAUGUUAUGAAUGGGGCACACUUGUAGUGGACAAUUAUAUUCCCGUCCUAAGAUGCUACAGGUGCACUGGUUUUGGCCACAAGGUUGUGGCUCACAGGAGCAGUCACUGCAUGAAAAGACUGUUAAUUAUUGUACAUUUAUAUUGUUAAUUAUUGUACAGCGAUAUCUGGCAACACUGGCAAAAGGGUUCUGUCGUCAGAGGUUCGUCAAUUUGAAACGUUGUAAAAUAAGAUCCGCUAGUCAGUAAAGUUAAGUAAUAAAAGAACAAAAGAAAACGAAAGGUAAUGCUUCAUUUUUUGUCUUAACAAAGACAAAUACAAUGACUGCCCAUAUUGCAAGGAAGAACCAAAUGUACAAAUUGUAUAAAAGCUAAUAAAACCAGGUGGAGGAAAGGAAGCACGCAACAAACCAUAAUGCAUUUUCUAUCUGGUUGCUGCUGUUUCUCCUUCAUGGCUGUUACUAGUAACACGUUAAAAAUACUACAAAUUAAUACACAAAAGAGUAAAGCAGCCUCCUCCCUGGUGAUGAAGAUGGCUAACAACCUGGAUGUAGAUAUUAUUCUCAUCCAGGAGCCGUAUAUGGUUGGAAAUUUGAUUACUCACUUUUGAAAGUGACAAAUCCUGAAUAAAGAAAAAAAAAACCAAAGGCCCACAGUGGUGUCAUUAUUAGACGUUGAUGUGGUUAUGAUUCCAGAGUUGAGCUCGAAUUGUAUUACUAUGGCUGCCAUAAACUCAGAUACCAUCAAUUACAUAAUCUGCAUUUACUUCUCCCCUUUUGAUUCAAACGAGGAGUGUAUUGAGGAGCUCAGUAAUGUCAUCCACUCCCUUGAUAGUGAAAACUUUAUAAUUGCAGGGGAUGCAAAUACGAAAUCCCCACUUUGGUUCCACAAGCAUGAGGACCACUGUGGGAGGUUAAGUGACUUAAUGGAUGAAAAGGAUUGCAUUUCACUCAAUACAACAGACCAUCCAACCUUUUUUACUAUCAGGGCCAAAGGGUGGACAGAUGUCUGCCUGGCCUCUACUGCAAUUGGUAGUUAUAUUGAGAACUGUGAGACACUUAGCAAUGGUUGCUAGCAGAAAUAAUUGUAUGUUCUGACCACUAUAAAGAACGGAGUACAGAUCAACUCUAUAAAUGAUAACCUUCAUCGGCAAAUUAGAAACUGGGAAACCUUUAGAUAUCUCUUUGCAGCUUACUGGAGAGAUUACAACAUCCGCCCUCUUAAGAGUCCGGUGGACAUUGACCAAUAAGUAGGCUACAUGACCAAUUCGAUGGUUAGGGCAGCUAACAACUCAGUGACCUAUAAGACCAAGAAAACGAGAACACACUGGUGGAACAAUGAACUGGAAAAAAUGAAAUAUGAAAUCAGAAAGCUUCAUAGGCAUUGGCAAAAGCCUGGAAAUAAUGAAAGGAAAGAGCAGAAGAGAGUAGCCUAUGAUAAAAGCCUUAAAGCAUACAAAAAUGCAAUAAACCAUGCAAGGACAAAGGCAUGGAAGGAAUUCUGUACCAGGUCCUGCACAGAUCCCUGGUCUCAGUCAUACCAGAUUGUCUUUAGGGGCAACAAGAAAACCACAAUUCCUAACCUUACUAAUAAAAAUGGUACUAGCACCUAUGACAUCAUAACCACCAUUUCCCCGAGGAUAAUCCAGAUAAAGAUCUUAAGGUGCAUGAAGAGGUAAGAGCAACCAUCUCUGUUCCCCAGAAUAAUGGGGAUGACAGUUGGUUCACUUUUCGAGAAGUGGAAUGUAUGGUAAACACCAUGGCCAAUAAGAAAGCUCCAGGUAGCGAUAAUAUAACAAAGGAAAUGGUGAAAGCAGCUUUCCAGGAGAUUCCAGUUGCCUUCAUUUUGCUGUACAAUGCCUGCUUACACUGUGGCUACUCCCCAGACCUCUGGAAGAAGGCAAAUGUCAAAUUUAUACUGAAAGUUGACAGCCCAUCCACUGAGAACAAUUAUAGGUCUAUCAGCCUGCUGCCAACUAUGGGGAGUGUUGGAUGGCCUUCUAGUAGAUAGGAUAAACUGGUAUCUGACUAAGAAAAAUCUACAAUACAAGAACCAAUACGGGUUCCAACCUGGCUGCUUGACAAUCCACGCUAUCCAGGGUUUUAAGGACUUUAUAGAGCAUGGAUAGGCAUGUACUGCUAAUAAGUAUGGAUUUUAAAAAGGCUUUUGAUAACCUAUGGUGGCCUACGAUAAUGCAUAGGUUGCACCAGAUCAAUUGCCCCAACAAUAUAUAUAAAUUGUGCAACAGCUACUUGGAAAACAGAACAGUAGGAUAUUAUUCUUCUCCACCUUGAAUGUGCUUGAGUAUUACCAGGGGAUGCCCACAGGGUUCCAGAAGCAGCCCAGGGCUGUGGAACAUGGUCUACAAUGAUCUGCUUAACAGCAUUGAAUCGGACCUGGACGUCAAGGCUCAAGGUUUUGCAGAUGACACAUCAGAAUAAUGACACUUUACAAAAGUAAGCCAAUGAGAUCCUUAACAUAAUUAGUGGCUGGAGUGAGAGAAACAAACUCCCUAUCAAUUAUGAUAAAUGUGAGGCCCUGGUGUGCAUGAAAAGAUCCAAGAAGAAACAACUGCAAUGCUCAUUUGCUCUGUAUCUAGACAACAAUAAACUAAAGAUUGUGCCUUGCCUCAAAUACUUAGAGUUGGGUCUAGGUAAACACCUAAGUUGGAAAUUCCAUAUUAUGGAGAUACGUAAAAAAGUCCAGCAGAGAGUCAACCUUUAUAAUUAUAUAGCCAGGAACACCUGGGGGCUAAGCAGUGAAAACUGCAAAUUGAUUUAUAGAGGGGUUAUUGAGCCUGCUAUUCUGUAUGCAGCCCAGAUCUGGCGCAAUAAAGCAACUGCAGUUCACAAUAAGAGAAAACUGUUUGCGGUACAGAGGAGAGCGGCCAUAAGAAUUUGCAGGGCGUACUGCACAACCCCCACUGAUGCAUUAUUGAUAAUAGCAAACCUGGUUCCCAUACACCUGAGAAUAAAAGAAAUGGUAUGGAACUGGACAAUAAUGAAUAUGAACCAUCAGAACAUCACCACCGAGGAAAUCCACACCCUCUGUAACAAGGGAAUGCUACCACCAAACAGUGCAAACUUAAUAACCUCCAUUAUUGAAUAUAAUUUGUAUAGCUAUAUCACAGGCUCCCCUCUGGAUAAGCACCCAGGGGAUAAUGGCAACUAUACAAUAAACAUCAACAAUCACCAUAAUAGGGAAAUGAGGGAAAACUGGAGUACUUACACAGAUGGUUCCAGCAAUGAUAAUGGUACUGGUGCAGCCUUUGUUAUUUAUGAUAAUGACCAUGUUAUUAAGUACCAGCAAUAUUUCCGGCUCCAUAGGCACUGUACCAAUAACCAAGCAGAGCUUUUAGUGGUCCACAAAGCACUCAGUGUCAUAACUAAAAACAAAGGUGUCUACAAGGGAACAUUGCCGUAUAUACCGACAGUAGGUAUGUUUUAAAUAUUCUCUCUAACAACAACAGAUGCACUAAGACUGGGCUAGAGGUGAGAAAUAUUGCCAGGAACCUGAGUAGGUUUACCCAGAUCAGUUUUAACUGGGUGACUGAGCAUACAGGCAGUGAGCAUGCAGAUGCCCUUGCCAAAAAAGUUACCUCUAUGAACAUCUCCUCAUUCUCUAAAAUUCCAGCAACUCAUGUCAAAAAAAACCAUCAGAAAUUGCAUCAUGGAGGAAUGGCAGAAAGAAUGGACUGCAUUAACAACUGGAAGACCUGCUUUUAAAUUCCUACUUCCAUUCCUACCAUCCAUCCUUAAGAGAUAGACUUACAGACACUUCAUCCCUACUCAUGCAAUCACUCAGUGCCUCACAGGCCAUGACAACUUUCCCUCCUACCUAGCUAGGUUUAAGAAAAUUAGCAACGACAGAUGUGACUGCGAUGGUACCACUGUGGGGGACGCCCUCCACUAUGAUAGCCAGCGGGAAGAACUUAUUUACCACUGCCUACAAAAGGGUCAAAGUUGGCCCCCUGGUCUCACUACCCUUUGUAAAGACCAGGAGACUUUAGAGAAGUUUGCCAAAUUUGUGAACACUUGUAAUCUAUUCAAAUAUACAACCCAUCUGAACUCAGGCCCAACAGACAACACUGGAACUGGAACUUCCAUCCCAUAGUUGAUAUUGCUAAUUGUGUCAGUCAUGGAGGACUGGUUUCAUUGGGAAUACCUACUGUAAACACGCCAAUGUAUGUUGUGGUAUUAAUGCUUAAGGGUUGCUGCAAAUUGUUUAGUGUCAGUGUUGGUCUGUUGUUAUAUACCACUGGCAAGUAAUGUUUUAUAUCAUUGAUUGUAUGUUUCGUAUCAUCUUGCCGAAAGGCACGCUGUAAUUAAUACCUUGUACAACUGUUACUUGUAACUAUUUAUGACGCUUGUCAGUUUUGGGAUCUCAAACUAUUCUUUUCCUUCCACUCUUUCCAUACCCAUUUCACCUCUCUCCCCAACCCACUCCUUCCUCCCCUAUCCGUACCCUACAUUUCCCCUUCUUUCUUUUAAUUCACUGGCUAAGUCCCAGAGGAUAGCCAACUAUCUUUACCUGUAAGUAUGCAGAUAAGUAACUUGUUUUCAUAUUGGAAUAUAUCCUGUUUAAUAAGUAAUUGAUUUCCAUGGUAACUAUUGUGAUUCAAAAAUACAAAUCUACAAAAAAUUCAUAAAGGCCAAAUGUAAAAAUAUCUUGUGAGACAUACCUCUAGAUUGCUUACAAACUUGACAGGAACACAUAUAUACAGCAGAUUGUAUUACCCGUAUAUAUCUCUCUAGACAAACACUAGAAAUAUUACAUUUACGAUACUAUAAUCCAGUUCUAUGUUAAUUACAACAUUAUGAAACUUUCAUAAACUAUCAAUAUGUUUUUGAAAUUGACUUACACUACCUCAACAUACAUCUUAAAGAAAAUAAACCUCUGAGAACACUUUCUCUACCAAAAUCAAUUACUGAAGCGAUUCCAAUGAGAGACAGGAAAUAUAUUAAUCUUAAGAUACUGUGAUCAGCAAUAAAGUUUAAAUAUACUAUACUAGAAUUAGACAACUGAAACAUACACUAAGAAAAUUUAAAAAUUAAGAAGAAAAGACUCAUUUAGAAGACAUAAAUGGAAGAACUAAGAACAUAUGUCGGUUUGAAGCCAAUAAACAUAACAAGUUAGUAGAAAAAUUCCAAUUCCCGAUAUAGAGGAGAAAAUCUUUGGUUCUAAAUAAAACAAGUUAUGAUCCCUGAUAGUAUCAUAGAAACAAUAUGUAAAGGCCUUGACUUUAAUGGCCCUAAUAGAUGGGAGGUUCUAAAUAUAAUACCUAAUUUAGAUCGUAUAUGCAAUAACUUAAUCGAAAUAGAAUCUGGAAUUUUUAAAAUGAACAUAAGCAAUAAGAUUAAACAAUAUAUCAAAAGAAAAAAUGGGAAAACAAUCAAAAAAUAAAAACUACCACCAGUACAAAAAUGAAAUUGAAAGAUUACAUAAUUUCCUAAAGGACAAUCAAUUUUGUUGUUUGUUGUUAAGUUCCAUCGAGUCGUCGUCGACUCCUGGUGACUUCAUGGACAAGUCUUCUCCAUCUUGAUCUUUCCCUUGUUGUCUCUCGUAGCUCAUCCAGCUUCAUUUCUGUGACUUUUUCUAUUUCUUCUAUCCAUCUUAUCCGUUGCCUUCCCCUCUUCCUUCUACCUUCCACUUUUCCCAGCAUAAUAGUCUUCUCUAGGGAAACUUCUUUACGCAUCACAUGUCCAAAGUAGGUCAAUUUUUGUUUUAAGAUUCUUGACUCUAAGGAGAAGCUUGGCUUAAUUUUUU